rnacentral:rRNA from 1 species
AUGACUAUAAGGAACCAACGAUUCUCUCUUCUUAAACAACAUAUAUACUCCACACUUAACCAACAUUUGAUAGAUUAUCCAACCCCAAGCAAUCUUAGUUAUUGGUGGGGGUUCGGUUCGUUAGCAGGUAUUUGUUUAGUCAUUCAGAUAGUGACUGGCUUUUUAGCUAUGCAUCACACACCUCAUGUGGAUCUAGCUUUCAACAGCGUAGAACACAUUAUGAGAGAUGUUGAAGGGGGCUGGUUGCUCCGUUAUAUGCACGCUAAUGGGGCAAGUAUGUUUCUCAUUGUGGUUCACCUUCAUAUUUUUCGUGGUCUAUAUCAUGCGAGUUAUAGCAGUCCUAGGGAAUUUGUUCGGUGUCUCGGAGUUGUCAUAUUCCUAUUAAUGAUUGUGACAUCUUUUAUAUAAUACAUACCACCUUGGGAUCAGAUGAGCUUUUGGGGAGCACCAGUAAUUACAAGCUUAGCUAGCGCCAUACCAGUAGUAGGAGAUACCAUAGUGACUUGGCUUUGGGGUGGUUUCUCCAUGGACAAUGCCACCUUAAAUCGUUUUUUUAGUCUCCAUCAUUUACUCCCCCUUAUUUUAGUAGGCGCCAGUCUUCUUCAUCUGGCCGCAUUGCAUCAAUAUGGAUCAAAUAAUCCAUUGGGUGUACAUUCUGAGAUGGAUAAAAUUGCUUCUUACCCCUAUUUUUAUGUAAAGGAUCUUGUAGGUCGGGUAGCUUCUGCUAUCUUUUUUUUGUCGAUUAUUUAUCAAGAAAGCAAAAAGGGUUCUUAUCAAAUCCACCAUAAAAUUGGAAAGAAGCAUAAAGUAAGUAGACCUGACUCCUUUAAUGAUGCCUCUAUCCGCUAUUCUGAUAUAUAA